UCUCAGUCUGUGACCCUCUAGAAGGAAGCACUUUCUGUUGUUUGAAAGAAAAGAAAGUGCAUCAUUUUAGAGGAUUACAGUUUGAGA
rnacentral:pre_miRNA from 8 species